GACGAACGCUGGCGGCGUGCUUAACACAUGCAAGUCGAACGGAAAGGCCCUGCUUUUGUGGGGUGCUCGAGUGGCGAACGGGUGAGUAACACGUGAGUAACCUGCCCUUGACUUUGGGAUAACUUCAGGAAACUGGGGCUAAUACCGGAUAUGAGCUCCUGCUGCAUGGUGGGGGUUGGAAAGUUUCGGCGGUUGGGGAUGGACUCGCGGCUUAUCAGCUUGUUGGUGGGGUAGUGGCUUACCAAGGCUUUGACGGGUAGCCGGCCUGAGAGGGUGACCGGCCACAUUGGGCCUGAGAUACGGCCCAGAAUCCUACGGGAGGCAGCAGUGGGGAAUAUUGCACAAUGGGCGGAAGCCUGAUGCAGCAACGCCGCGUGCGGGAUGACGGCCUUCGGGUUGUAAACCGAUUUCGACUGUGACGAAGAGUGAGUGACGGUAAUGGGUAAAGAAGCACCGGCUAACUACGUG
rnacentral:rRNA from 1 species